rnacentral:rRNA from 1 species
UAAAUCCGGUUGAUCCUGCCGGACCCUACUGCUAUCGGGGUGGGACUAAGACAUGCGAGUUGAGCGUCUCUAAGCCAUGGUAGAGACGCGGCGUACGGCUCAGUAACACGUGGCUAACCUACCCUUAGGACGGGGACAACCCCGGGAAACUGGGGCUAAUACCCGAUAGGCGAGGAGGCCUGGAAUGGUUCUUAGUCGAAAAGGCGUUGAAACCAUGCUUUUCGACGUCGCCUAAGGAUGGGGCCGCGCCCGAUCAGGUUGUUGGUGAGGUAACGGCUCACCAAGCCUAUAACCGGUACGGGCCGUGAGAGCGGGAGCCCGGAGAUGGGCACUGAGACAAGGGCCCAGGCCCUACGGGGCGCAGCAGUCGCGAAAACUCCGCAAUGCGCGAAAGCGUGACGGGGCUACCCCGAGUGCCAUCCGCUGAGGAUGGCUUUUCUCCGGUGUAAUGAGCCGGGGGAAUAAGGAGAGGGCAAGCCUGGUGUCAGCCGCCGCGGUAAUACCAGCUCUCCGAGUGGUGGGGAUGUUUAUUGGGCCUAAAGCAUUCGUAGCCUGCUUGGCAAGUCCUCCGUUAAAUCCAACGAUUCAAUCGUUGGGCUGCGGGGGAUACUGUCCAGCUAGGGGGCGGGAGAGGCCGACGGUAUCCCCGGGGUAGGGGUGAAAUCCUAUAAUCCCGGGAGGACCACCAGUGGCGAAGGCUGUCGGCUAGAACGCGCUCGACGGUGAGGGAUGAAAGCUGGGGGAGCGAACCGGAUUAGAUACCCGGGUAGUC